AUUGAACGCUGGCGGCAGGCCUAACACAUGCAAGUCGAACGAGUGGCGGACGGGUGAGUAAUGUCUGGGAAACUGCCCGAUGGAGGGGGAUAACUAAUGGAAACGGUAGCUAAUACCGCAUACCAUCGGAUGUGCCCCGAUGGGAUUAGCUAGAAGGUGGGGUAACGGCUAACCUAGGCGACGAUCCCUAGCUGGUCUGGGGGGCUGACCAGCAACACUGGAACUGAGACACGGCCCAGACUCCUACGGAAGGCGGCAGUGGGAAAUAUUGCACAAUGGGCGCAAGCCUGAUGCAGCCAUGCCGCGUGUAUGAAGAAGGCCUUCGGGUUGUAAAGUACUUUCAGCGAGGAGGCGUUACUCGCAGAAGAAGCACCGGCUAACUCCGUGCCAGCAGCCGCGGUAAUUC
rnacentral:rRNA from 1 species